CAUUGCAAUGCUACAAAUUUUGAUGAAAAAGUGAAAAACGAGCACGCUUCACACAAACAACAUUCAACACUCUCAAUAGCAUUGCAAUGUUAUGGGUUUGACAGAAAAAUAAGUGCGCCUUGCAAAUGCUACGGGUGUUCAGUCGACUGCUCUUCUCCCUCUUGUGAAAUUUCUGCAAUUCCUCACAAAAUUCCAAUCGUCACAAUGCUCUCAAGUCGACAAAGCUUCAAGCAUUGCUGGCCCCUCGUCUUCUAAAAAACCUAAGUGAUUCGAGAUCAAAAAGUGGAAUGUUGACACUCUCUGGGCUUAGAGUAUUGAAUGUCAGGCGAAUCAAGCGAGUGCUACUAGUGAGGAAUGUACUGUCUCUUGAGAAAACUGAGGAGCAGAAGCUCAAAGAGCAGAGAUUCAAGGCAAACAAGAACAAGCCUAUCAUGAUAGAGUAAUAACAACAUGAAUGUGUAGGUUGUAGGUAAUAUUGUAGUCAAGUUUGAAUUUCUAUAAUGGAACCAGUUUUCAUACUCUUUGUAUGUUAUAACAUUCUGCAAUUGGAGCCUUUUUGUUUGCAAUGACAAUGUGUCGAUCUUCCCAA